UUUAUAAAUAUAGUUUGAAGAAUAAAUUAUCUAUAUGUAGAAAUUGGUUUAUUUGUAAAUAAAGUAUUAUGAUUUCUAGUAAAAUUAUUGAAAAAAUAUUUAUAGGGAUAGGGAAUUAGUAUUGUGAAAGAAUAUUUUUUUAUUUUGAAAGAAAAACUUGCAUUUUGUACCUUGUGUAUCAGGGUUUAUCUAAAAUUUAUUAUGGAUUUAAUUUUCUCGAAUUUAAAAGAGCUAUUUAGUUAAGAAUUUUAUUGUGGCAUAAAUAUUUUAAAUAUUUAAAUAGUGGUUAGAUGUUAGUCGAUUUUAAAUGUAUCUAGUUUUUUAAGAAAUAGAUUUAAUUUAUUUUUAUUUAAAUAUUUUUUUAUUUUUUUAAUGGAAUGUUUUAUUAAAAAAGAUGGGUUUAGGGUUGAGCUUAGAUCCUUAAUUAUAUAAUAUUUUUAUUUGUUCAAUUAACUAGGAGGAUUUAAAGUUUCUGCUUGGGUGAUUUAUAUCUUAUUUAAUUUUUUAUUAUGAUUUUUUAAUAGGGUGAUUUAUGUUUUUUAUUAAAAUUUGGAUAUAAAUUUUAUUUAUUCAGUAAAAAUGAUAAAAUUAGUAUAGAAAAUUUUAUUUAUUUGUUUGUUUAAUAGAUUUUUUCAAGGAAUUAGGCAAUCUUAUUUUCCACCUGUUUAUUAAAAACAUGUCCUUUUGAUUAUAAUUUAAGGUCUAACCUGCCCAAUGAUUGAAAUUAAAUGGCCGCGGUAUUUUGACCGUGCAAAGGUAGCAUAAUCAUUAGUUUCUUAAUUAGAAGCUUGUAUGAAAGGUUGGAUGAGAAAAUUUCUGUCUCGAUUAAAAUUUUUAGAAUUUUAUUAUUUUGUAAAAAGGCUUAGAUGUUUAUAAAAGACGAGAAGACCCUAUAGAGUUUAAUAAUUUUAUUUGAAGUAGUGAUUGGUAUAUUUUUCUUUAUUUUUUAAAAAUAUUUGAUUGGGGUGAUUGAAAUAAUUAAAAUAACUUUUUUUAGGUUUUUUCAUUAAUAGAUGAAUAGUUGAUCCUUAAUAAAGAUUAAAAGAAAAAAUUACCUUAGGGAUAACAGCGUAAUUUUUCUAAAGAGUUCUUAUCGAAAGAAGAGUUUGCGACCUCGAUGUUGGAUUAAAAUUAAGGUUUGGUGAAGAAGCUGAAUUAUUAGGUCUGUUCGACCUUUAAAAUUUUACAUGAUCUGAGUUUAGACCGGUGUGAGCCAGGUUGGUUUCUAUCUUUAUAAAAAAUAAUUUUUUUUAGUACGAAAGGACCAAAAAUAUAUUACAUUAAUUUAACUUGGAAUUUUAUUAUUGCUUUGGCAGAAUAGUGUAAUAGAUUUAGGAUCUUUUAAUGUAGUUUAUGGAACUAUAAGUA
rnacentral:rRNA from 1 species